AUGAUAGGUUUUGAUGAGGCUAAGCAACAUGGUUCCGUGAGUCGACUAGCAGAAAAUAUGGAGGCUAAGAUCAUUGACCCUGUUACUGGAGAAACAUUAUCUCCUGGCCAAAGAGGGGAGCUUUGGAUUAGAGGAUCAACGAUCAUCUCAUAUAAUUAUUUAAAUUGGAGGAGCUUGACGGCUUCAGGUCUUGGACAUUACUAA
rnacentral:lncRNA from 1 species